rnacentral:rRNA from 1 species
AAGUCGUAAAGGGUAACCGUAGGUUUUUUCCUCGUACCCGUAGAGUUUGCUUGGGCUCCCAUUCUUUUGCAGACGGGUGCCUAAUGCCUAGGAAUCUGCCCGGUAAUGGGGGAUAACGUUUCGAAAGGAACGCUAAUACCGCAUACGUCCUACGGGAGAAAGCAGGGGACCUUCGGGCCUUGCGUUAUCGGAUGAGCCUAGGUCGGAUUAGCUAGUUGGUGAGGUAAUGGCUCACCAAGGCGACGAUCCGUACCUGGUCUGAGAGGAUGAUCAGCCACACUGGAACUGACACACGGUCCAAACUCCUACGGGAGGCAGCAGUGGGGAAUAUUGGACAAUGGGCGAAAGCCUGAUCCAGGCAUGCCACGUGUGUGAAAAAGGUCUUCGGAUUGUACAGCACUUUAAGUUGGGAGGAAGGGCAGUCAGUUAAUACCUUGCUGUCUUGACGUUACCAUCAGAAUAAGCACCGGCUAACUUCGUGCCAGCAUCUGCGGUAAUACGAAGGGUGCAAGCGUUAAUCGGAAUUACUGGGCGUAAAGCGCGCGUAGGUGGAUCAGCAAGUUGGAUGUGAAAUCCCCGGGGCUCAACCUGGGAACUGCAUCUAAAACUACUGAGCUAGAGUACCGUAUAUAAAUGGUGGAAUUUCCUGUGUAGCGGUGAAAUGCGUAAUAUAAGAAGGGAACACCAGUGGCGAAGCGACCACCUGGACUUGAUUCUGACACUGAGGUGCGAAGUGGGGGAGCAAACAGGAUA